rnacentral:tRNA from 3 species
GCUGUUGUAGCUCAGUUGGUAGAGCAACUGAUUCGUAAUCAGUAGGUCACCAGUUCGAUUCCGGUCAACAGCACCA